GUCUGAAUAGUUCAGUUGGAAGAGCAUUCGCCCAGAAAGCGAAAGGUCUCGGGUUCAAUUCCCGAUUUAGCCA